GCCCUCGUAGUUCAACGGAUAGAAUGGAAGUUUCCUAAACUUUAGAUCAGGGUUCGAUUCCCCGCGAGGGUA
rnacentral:tRNA from 1 species